rnacentral:rRNA from 1 species
UCCAGACUCCUACGGGAGGCAGCAGUGGGGGAUAUUGGACAAUGGGGGAAACCCUGAUCCAGCGACGCCGCGUGAGUGAAGAAGUAUUUCGGUAUGUAAAGCUCUGUCAGCAGGGAAGAAAGAAAUGACGGUACCUGACCAAGAAGCCCCGGCUAACUACGUGCCAGCAGCCGCGGUAAUACGUAGGGGGCAAGCGUUAUCCGGAUUUACUGGGUGUAAAGGGAGCGUAGACGGUGAUGCAAGUCAGAAGUGAAAGCCCGGGGCUCAACUCCGGGACUGCUUUUGAAACUGUGUGACGGGAGUGCAGGAGAGGUAAGCGGAAUUCCUGGUGUAGCGGUGAAAUGCGUAGAUAUCAGGAGGAGCACCAGUGGCGAAGGCGGCUUACUGGACUGUAACUGACGUUGAGGCUCGAAAGCGUGGGGAGCAAACAGGAUUAGAUACCCGAGUA